UCUAAUCGUGUCCUCUGCACUCGCUCGUCCACGGCGCGAGCUCUUAUCUGAUAUUCAUACGUUCGGUGCCACCGCCCGGCUUGGGAAACACUCGGGAGUGCCUCCGCAUGACGGAUAAACUUGCGAAAUAGCGUAACACGGAAGAAUGAUAAUUGGAGCAGAGUUCAUUACGCGGAAUGCAUGGCGACACCGUAGUCGGGACAAUAAAGCACCAAAGGAUGCUCCGCGUGCAUACAAAAGUAGGAGAGUGAGAGAUGGCUGAAAUCUGAAUACUGUAUGAGAUAUUUUACGUUUUUUUUUUAUUCCGGAAUAAAACAUACGCAAUAUCAAGGAUCUGUUCUGGAAUGAAAUCUAUGUAAUUUCGAAGAUUUGUUGCCGAAUAAAAUAUAUAUAAAUUUCAGGA